rnacentral:rRNA from 1 species
AACGAACGCUGGCGGCGUGCCUAACACAUGCAAGUCGAACGAGAAAGGGGCUUCGGCUCCGAGUAAAGUGGCGCACGGGUGAGUAACACGUAGGUAACCUGCCUCUAAGAUUGGGAUAACCUGUCGAAAGACGAGCUAAUACCGAAUAAGACCACGGCUUCCUCGGAAGCAGGGGUCAAAGGUAGCCUCUACUUGUAAGCUAUCACUUAGAGAUGGGCCUGCGUACCAUUAGCUAGUUGGGGGUAACGGCUACCAAGGCAAGAUGGUUAGCUGGUCUGAGAGGAUGAUCAGCCACACUGGAACUGAGACACGGUCCAGACUCCUACGGGAGGCAGCAGUGGGGAAUAUUGCGCAAUGGGCGAAAGCCUGACGCAGCAACGCCGCGUGAGUGAUGAAGGCCU